CAUGUUGAGACCAAUAUAUCUGUUCAUUUCCAAGAAUGAGUGUUCAAAAAAAAUGUUUUCCAACUGAUUUUUCAUCUUCCUCGCCUUUCCUAAAAGCUCCAAGGCUUAGGUUUCUUGGCUCAAGAGAUUCUUGUUCCCUGAACUCUACCAAAAGUACGACUCAAUACAUGAGUUGAUAAUGAUAAAAUUUAUGGACGUUUCCAUCAGACAUUAUGCAC
rnacentral:lncRNA from 1 species